rnacentral:rRNA from 1 species
CCCGCUGAACUUAAGCAUAUCAAUAAGCGGAGGAAAAGAAACCAACAGGGAUUGCCCUAGUAACGGCGAGUGAAGCGGCAACAGCUCAAAUUUGAAAUCUGGCGCAAGCCCGAGUUGUAAUUUGUAGAGGAUGUUUCUGGCGACGUGCCUUCCGAGUUCCCUGGAACGGGACGCCAUAGAGGGUGAGAGCCCCGUACGGUUGGAUGCCUAGCCUUUGUGAAACUCCUUCGACGAGUCGAGUAGUUUGGGAAUGCUGCUCUAAAUGGGAGGUAUACGUCUUCUAAAGCUAAAUACCGGCCAGAGACCGAUAGCGCACAAGUAGAGUGAUCGAAAGAUGAAAAGCACUUUGAAAAGAGGGUUAAAUAGUACGUGAAAUUGUUGAAAGGGAAGCGUUUAUGACCAGACUUGGGUAGGUUGAUCAUCCGUGGUUCUCCGCGGUGCACUCUGCCUGCCCAGGCCAGCAUCAGUUCAGUUCGGGGGAGAAAGGCUUCGGGAAUGUAGCUCCCUCGGGAGUGUUAUAGACCGUUGCGUAAUACCCUGAUCUGGACUGAGGUUCGCGCAUUGCAAGGAUGCUGGCGUAAUGGUCAUCAGCGACCCGUCUUGAAACACGG